rnacentral:rRNA from 1 species
GAUGAACGCUGGCGGCGUGCCUAAUACAUGCAAGUCGAGCGAACGGACGAGAAGCUUGCUUCUCUGAUGUUAGCGGCGGACGGGUGAGUAACACGUGGAUAACCUACCUAUAAGACUGGGAUAACUUCGGGAAACCGGAGCUAAUACCGGAUAAUAUUUUGAACCGCAUGGCUCAAAAGUGAAAGACGGUCUUGCUGUCACUUAUGGAUGGAUCCGCGCUGCAGUAGCUAGUUGGUAAGGUAACGGCUUACCAAGGCAACGAUGCAUAGCCGACCUGAGAGGGUGAUCGGCCACCCUGGAACUGAGCCACGGUCCAGACUCCUAGGGGAGCCAGCAGUAGGGAUUCUUCCGCAAUGGGCGAAGGCCUGCCGGAGCAACGCCGCGUGAGUGAUGCAGGUCUUCGGAUCGUAAAACUCUGUUAUUAGGGAAGAACAUAUGUGUAAGUAGCUGUGCACAUCUUGACGGUACCUAAUCAGAAAGCCACGGCUAACUACGUG